UACGUAGGGGGCGAGCGUUGUCCGGAUUUAUUGGGCGUAAAGAGCGUGUGAGGCGGCCAGGUAGGUCUGCUGUGAAAACUCGAGGCUCAACCUCGAGACGUCGGCGGAAACCAUCGUGGCUAGAGUCCGGAAGAGGAGAGUGGAAUUCCUGGUUGUAGCGGUGAAAUGACGCAGAUAUCAGGAAGAACACCUGCGGCGAAGGCGGGUUGCUGGGCUGACUACUGACGCUGAGGCGCGAAAGCUAGGGGGAGCGAAACGGG
rnacentral:rRNA from 1 species